AUGGGGUGCCCAAAUCCCUCGCUAACUUUGAAGGGAAGGUUUCCCAAGUGCACGGAUACUUAUCAAUUGGUACCAGAGCUGGUUGCUGCUAGCUCAAAAGAGGCUAUACGGAAGGCCGAGAAAAGCAACUUAGAGUUCAACGGAAUGUCAACUCUCAAAGGAGGUGCUAUGGUGGAACUUAGGUAUUAUGGGAUUUCCAAGUCCCAUUUCGAUUUGUAUGAAAUGCUCAGUAGAGUAUCUAAGUGA